AGCGAAAUGAAGAAAAGUUUGGAAAGUAUUCGUUUGCGAUUUUCCAAUGAAAAAAAUGAAGAAAGAGUUAUAGUAGAAGUGAUGAAGCUGAACCCAACGGUCAGCAAAAUCAGAAUUAUUGGAUUAAUAAUAUUUACGUGAAAAUUUACGUUCUAUAUCCUCAAUUUACUUUUAUAAUUUGGAAAUUGUAAAUUCCAUAGUAG